GUGGGGAAUAUUGGGCAAUGGGCGCAAGCCUGACCCAGCAACGCCGCGUGAAGGAAGAAGGCUUUCGGGUUGUAAACUUCUUUUACCAGGGACGAAACAAAUGACGGUACCUGGUGAAUAAGCCACGGCUAACUACGUGCCAGCAGCCGCGGUAAUACGUAGGUGGCGAGCGUUAUCCGGAUUUAUUGGGUGUAAAGGGCGUGUAGGCGGGACAGCAAGUCAGAUGUGAAAACCAGAGGCUCAACCUCUGGCCUGCAUUUGAAACUGUAGUUCUUGAGUGUCGGAGAGGUAAUCGGAAUUCCGUGUGUAGCGGUGAAAUGCGUAGAUAUACGGAGGAACACCAGUGGCGAAGGCGGAUUACUGGACGAUAACUGACGCUGAGGCGCGAAAGCGUGGGGAGCAAACAGGAUUAGAAACCCCUGUAGUCC
rnacentral:rRNA from 1 species